GACGAACGCUGGCGGCGUGCUUAACACAUGCAAGUCGAACGGAAAGGCCCCUUUCGGGGUACUCGAGUGUCGAACGGGUGCGUAACACGUACGUAACCUGCCCUUGACUUUGGGACAACUUCAGGUACCUGGGGCUAAUACUGGUAAGGAAUGCUUGCUUCAUGGUCGGGGUUGGAAAGCUUCGGCGGGUUUGGCUGGACUGGCGGGGUAUCUGCUUGCUGGUGGGGUAAUGGCUUACCAAGGCUGCGUCGGGUGGCCGGACUGAGUAGGCGACCGGCCACAUUGGGACUGAGGGACGGCCGAGGCACCGACGGGAGGCAGAAGGGGGGAAGAUUGCACAAUGGGCGGAAGCCGGAUGCAGCAAGGCCGCGGGCGGGAUGACGGUCUUCGGGUUGAAAAACGCAUUCAGCAGGGGCGGAGCUUGUGGUGACGGUACCUGCAGAAGAAGCACCGGCUAACUACGUG
rnacentral:rRNA from 1 species